UUAAAUAUAAAGUCAAUAUUGUGAAAAAAAUAAGUCUUUGUUUUAAAAUGACUUACACAUUAUGAAAUUGUGAUCUCAGAUAAAAAUAGAAUGAAAUACCAUUACAAUGAGAAAAACACAAGGAAUGGCUAGCUUAAUUUACCUAAAAAGGAAAAAACAACAUUCUCGAAAAAUGCAAACAACUAUGAAAAUAAAGGAGUUGGCCGGGCGCGGUGGCUCACGCCCGUAAUCCCAGCACUUUGGGAAGCCAAGGCGGGUGGGAUCACCUGAGGUCAGGAGUUUGCAACCAGCCUGGCCAGCAUGGUGAAACUCCGUCUCUACUAAAAAUAGAAAAAAUUAGCCAGGCAUGGUAUAAAAAGUACUUAAUAUUAUGAAUAGUUUUCAUUAAUAUUACUGGUAACACUUGACAAUGUCCAAAUAAAAGUAUAUUUAAUCAUCAAGGGGGUCACUGAUUUAUCUUUUGUAAAAUUCAAUAGAUUAUUUUGAGCAUUCCAGGCCACUACACAGAUAGUCAUGCUGCAGCCUGAGGUAGUAGUUAAGAACAAGUAUCGUGAAGGCCCAUAUACAAAUCCCAACCGCACCCUGCCUAGCUUAGGC
rnacentral:antisense_RNA from 1 species